GUUCUUAUAGUUGAAGUACAACGGUGGUUUUUCAAGCCAUUGGUUCAGGUUAGAGUCCUGGUGAGAAUU
rnacentral:tRNA from 1 species